rnacentral:rRNA from 1 species
UAUACCGUGAACUGCGAAUGGCUCAUUAAAUCAGUUAUCGUUUAUUUGAUAGUACCUUACUACUUGGAUAACCGUGGUAAUUCUAGAGCUAAUACAUGCUGAAAACCCCGACUUCGGGAGGGGUGUAUUUAUUAGAUAAAAAACCAACGCCCUUCGGGGCUUCUUGGUGAUUCAUGAUAACUUCACGGAUCGCAUGGCCUUGCGCCGGCGACGGUUCAUUCAAAUUUCUGCCCUAUCAACUUUCGAUGGUAAGGUAUUGGCUUACCAUGGUUUCAACGGGUAACGGGGAAUUAGGGUUCGAUUCCGGAGAGGGAGCCUGAGAAACGGCUACCACAUCCAAGGAAGGCAGCAGGCGCGCAAAUUACCCAAUCCCGACACGGGGAGGUAGUGACAAUAAAUACUGAUACAGGGCUCUUUUGGGUCUUGUAAUUGGAAUGAGUACAAUUUAAACCUCUUAACGAGGAACAAUUGGAGGGCAAGUCUGGUGCCAGCAGCCGCGGUAAUUCCAGCUCCAAUAGCGUAUAUUAAAGUUGUUGCAGUUAAAAAGCUCGUAGUUGAAACUUGGGCCUGGCUGGCAGGUCCGCCUCACCGCGUGUACUUGUCCGGCCGGGCCUUUCCUUCUGGAGAACCUCAUGCCCUUCACUGGGUGUGUUGGGGAACCAGGACUUUUACUUUGAAAAAAUUAGAGUGUUCAAAGCAGGCCUUUGCUCGAAUACGUUAGCAUGGAAUAAUAGAAUAGGACGUGCGGUCCUAUUUUGUUGGUUUCUAGGACCGCCGUAAUGAUUAAUAGGGACAGUCGGGGGCAUCAGUAUUCAAUUGUCAGAGGUGAAAUUCUUGGAUUUAUUGAAGACUAACUACUGCGAAAGCAUUUGCCAAGGAUGUUUUCAUUAAUCAGUGAACGAAAGUUAGGGGAUCGAAGACGAUCAGAUACCGUCGUAGUCUUAACCGUAAACUAUGCCGACUAGGGAUCGGGCGAUGUUCUUUUUCUGACUCGCUCGGCACCUUACGAGAAAUCAAAGUU